rnacentral:tRNA from 1 species
CGGGUUGUGGCGCAGCGGUAGCGCACUCGCUUUGGGAGCGAGGGGUCGUCAGUUCGAAUCUGACCACCCCGACCA